AAUUUAGUAUUUUUUUUUAAAAAAAAUUAGAAAACUCAUUCAAUAUAUAUAAGUAUGUAAUUAUGAACUCCACAGUAAUGACCAUUAUGCAUUGCAACAUUAUCUGAACUUAUUACUUUCUAUGAAAAUCAUAUAUCUAUCUAUAAAUAUUCAUUAAAAUAUAACUUAUUUUAUAUUAUAAUGAUGUUUGAUCAAUGUACUCUAGAUGUAUUUUUUCCAAUAAUCAUAGUGUGUAGAUCAGCUCCUGUGCACCUUGACUAUUUCAGCACCGAAUUGAUACGCGUGUGCCCAUUGAAAUCACGGUUGGUCUUCUUUCUCUUCGAUUUUUAACUCUAUAAAAUGCAGGGUUUAAAAUGAUCAACGUUUCAACUCUGUUUACUAGAUUGGAGAACUUAAGAAACAGGUUGAAAUCACGCACCUACCAAGGUUCCAGGCUGAGAAUCUUGAGCAGAACAAAAUCUUGUACGAGUGGAUUUGUGAAAUGGCAGCAAAUAAGGGAUGUACCCCUUCUCAACUGGCGUUGGCGUGGGUACAUCACCAAGGAAACGACGUGUGUCCCAUCCAUGGCAGCUGUGUUGUCAUCAUUCUUCUGUCCGCUACUUUCCCCUUUGCUCCUUUUUAGAUUUGGACAAUCUCUUUUGAAGUAUCUUGGUUGAUCGCAAUUGUAGUAAUUUCUGGCCUUUGAUUUUGAUCGGACCUUGGACGUUCCACGAGCUCUGAAUCUACCAUAGUUACUUGAUCUCCUUUGGUAUCUUCUGCCUCUACUUUCCGUGAUGAGAGUCUGUUCGAGAUUUUCAGACAUUUUUCUCAUCUUCUAAUUAAGCAAAAGGGCUGAUGUGACAUUCUUCAACUCAAUAGAGUCCUUACCAUGUAAAAUGACUGUUGCUAAAGUAUCGUAGGAAGAUGACAACGAAUUUAGGAGCACUAUGACUUUAUUUUCAUCCUCGAUCUUUACUAAUAUAAAUGCAUUGAGAUGGAUGCCACUAAUAUUGGGCUCGAUGUUGACUUCAUUCAAUUGGAAACUUAAGGCAUGCAUUGAGCCAAAAGACUUAAACAUGGAGGAGAAAUUUGGUGCCAUCAUAGCCAAAGCUCAUCCUUUGCGAGCUAUCCCAUCUCCUCUUUGAAAUCGCGUAAACUUUAUAAUAAAUACUUAUCUAGUAUCGAUUGUCUUAUUAUGUCCACAAUUACCAACUACCACUCUAUUCAUCAUCACUUUAUCAACAAUCACCACCCACUACCAUUAGUGACGUAACCUUUUGUUAUAUAUAAUAAAUUGAAAUCACAACUCAAAGGUGUUUGCGACCUGUUCAUACCUUAUUUUAUAUAAAACGGUUUCAUGUUCUUGAUUGA